rnacentral:tRNA from 1 species
GCCUGAGUGGCUCAGUUGGUUGAGCAUCUGACUUCAGCUCAGGUCAUGAUCUCACAGUGUGUGGGUUCGAGCCCCACGUCUGGCU